CGCGAUAGUGGACGUAGGAGUUCUCUUUUUGCUUCAGAGCACCCACUGAAACCUCCGAAGAGGAGACAUCUAUGAGCCCACUAGGUCAGUAGAUCAGCUAGCUCAAGCCUCGGAACAAAAUCAUAACAUCUAUGAGCCCACUAGGUCAGUAGAUCAGCUAGCUCAAGCCUCGGAACAAAAUCAUAACGUCGCUGCCUCUUCAGGCUCAUUGGGUCAUUCUCAAGAGAGAUAAUCAAAGAUGAGCAGGAAAUAUGAGAGCUGAGGUGUUAAUUUUUCCGCUACCAUUUUAUGCAUAAACCAGUAUUUGAAAGGUGACAGAAAUCAUCCAUUCUUUAGUUUCAUUGCUCUAGUUUAUGAUCCCAAUGAGUUGAUAUUUUCAGAAAAGGAAUUUAAUUGAACUUGUAAUUUGACUCGAUGUUUCCUUGCUGCAUUCUAUUCGAUAUGCAAUGAGCAC
rnacentral:lncRNA from 1 species